rnacentral:rRNA from 1 species
AUGAUCGUCUUAGUCUGGAACUGUCGAGGACUGGGGUUGGACUCGACGGUAGGUGAACUUCGUGACCUGGUACGGUCUUACAACCCAGCGGUGGUGUUCUUGUCUGAAACGAAGAAGAGGGCAGGAGCGAUGGAGAAGUUGAAAUGGAGUCUUGGGUUCACUCAAGGUGUGGCAGUAGAUUGCAAUGGAAAAAGCGGGGGUUUAGCACUGUGGUGGAGAGAUUUUUUGGAUGUCACUGUCCGGCCGUGGUGCCAAUACUAUAUUGAUGCAAAAAUUGUUGGUGAGGAGAACACCUUCAGAUUCACUGGAAUAUACGGUGAGCCAUGUGUAGACAAAAGGAAGAAGACCUGGGAAGUCCUUCGAUACCUUAGAGGCCAAGACAAUCUACCAUUGAUCCGUGCGGGUGACUAUAAUGAAGCGUUAGAGCUGUCGGAACAGCAGGGUGGUAAUCAGAGAAGCUUAAGGCAGAUGGAGGCAUUCAGGGACUGUCUCACGGACUGCAGCAUGGCGGAUAUAUGGAUUUCUCUGGAUACCCAUUCACAUGGGAUAAUAAACGAGAUGUGGAAGAAAACAUUCAGGUCUGACUGGAUCGUGCGACAUGUAAUGCGGAAUUCAUGCAGAUGUUCCCAGGUACCGAUGUGCAACAUGUAA